CCCAAGUCUCCAACCUUAGCCGUAACCCUUUCACCCUUACGUUGUUUCUACAAUUUUCUUUCACGGAAGGACUACGAAGCACCCGCCUUUCCAUCUUCAUUCUCUGUUUGUCGAAUGUUGAUCUCCAAUCUGAUGAAAGCGAAAUUGUGGAGGUUGUACUGCCCACUACUAGCUGACAGAUGGAAGAAGGGUUUGGUCUACUAAGGAGUACCUUUAUAAAGGCGUUUGGUCUACUAAGGAGUACCUUUAUAAAGGCAAAUAUCAGAGAUGAACAAUUGGCAUGUAUCCUCAACAGAAAGUUUUGUUUUAAUGUGUCUCUUGCUGAUUCAGUUUUGUGAGAUUAUGUUUGGUGCACUACUGCACGUCUGUAUUGGAGUACUUGACUAUGGGAUUUGCUUCUUUUUUUUUUCCCUGAGGAAACUAUGGGAUCUGAUUAUGUUGUGUUGUUGGGAGCAACUUGUUGCUAGUUAUGAGAUUAUUUUUGCUUGUUGAUUCUCAGAAGUCAGCAUUCUAAUGUAAUUUUUGUGAGAUUAUGUUUGAUUAGGGUUUAUGAGA